UACGGGGGGAGCAAGCGUUGUUCGGAUUUACUGGGCGUAAAGGGCGCGUAGGCGGCGCAACAAGUCACUUGUGAAAUCUCCGGGCUUAACCCGGAGCGGUCAAGUGAUACUGUCGUGCUAGAGUGCGGAAGGGGCUACUGGAAUUCUCGGUGUAGCGGUGAAAUGCGUAGAUAUCGAGGGGAACACCUGCGGCGAAGGCGGGUAGCUGGGCCGACACUGACGCUGAUGCGCGAAAGCCAGGGGAGCGAACGGG
rnacentral:rRNA from 1 species